CACGUAGGGCGCAAGCGUUGUCCGGAAUUAUUGGGCGUAAAGAGCUCGUAGGCGGUCUGUUGCGUCUGCUGUGAAAACUCGGGGCUUAACCCCGAGCCUGCAGUGGAUACGGGCAGACUAGAGGUAGGUAGGGGAGAAUGGAAUUCCCGGUGUAGCGGUGAAAUGCGCAGAUAUCGGGAGGAACACCGGUGGCGAAGGCGGUUCUCUGGGCCUUACCUGACACUGAGGAGCGAAAGCGUGGGGAGCGAACAGG
rnacentral:rRNA from 1 species